CUGCUCAUGACAAAUUAAAUAGCCGCAAUAUUGUGCUAGAGAGUAGCAUAAUCAUUCGUUUUUUAAUUGAAAACCAGAAUAAAAGAUUGAACAACUUGAACAACUUCUCAAAUUUAAAAUUUAAACUUAUCUUAAAUGUAAAAAGACAUUUAUUCGAAAGAAAGACGACAAGACCCUACUGAACUUAACUAAAGUUAAACUGGGGCAGUUAAUUAAUUAUUAUUUUAAUAAAACUAAUAUCAAAAAAGACCUAAUACAAUUAAAUUCAUAAUCAAGUUACCAUAGGGAUAACAGCGCAAUAUUUAUCUAAAGUCCUCAUUUAAAUAAAAGAUUACGACCUCGAUGUUGAAUUAAUAUUCUAUAAUUACGCAACAGUAUUAUAAGAAAGUCUGUUCGACUUUUAAACAAUUACA
rnacentral:rRNA from 1 species